rnacentral:rRNA from 1 species
GUGAGGAAUAUUGGUCAAUGGCCGAGAGGCUGAACCAGCCAUGCCGCGUGCGGGAAGACGGCCCUAUGGGUUGUAAACCGCUUUUGCGAGGGAGCAAUAAGUGCUACGUGUAGCACGAUGAGAGUACCUUACGAAUAAGCAUCGGCUAACUCCGUGCCAGCAGCCGCGGUAAUACGGAGGAUGCAAGCGUUAUCCGGAUUUAUUGGGUUUAAAGGGUGCGUAGGCGGCUUCUUAAGCGUGAGGUGAAAUCCCGGAGCUCAACCCCGGCACUGCCUCGCGAACUGGGGAGCUGGAAUGCUCCUGCCGUGGGAGGAAUGUGUGGUGUAGCGGUGAAAUGCAUAGAGAUCACACAGAACACCGAUUGCGAAGGCAUCUCACGAAGGGGCGAUUGACGCUGAGGCACGAAAGCGUGGGGAUCAAACAGG